AUUGAUUUUAUGCUUGCAUAAAUGUUUUUUGGAUUCGGAGCGAGUGGCGAACUGGUGAGUAACACGUGGGUAACCUGCCCCGAAGCGGGGGAUAACAUUUGGAAACAAGCGCUAAUACCGCAUAAUUAGUUGGAACCGCAUGGUUCCAACUUGAAAGAUGGCUCUGCUAUCACUUUGGGAUGGACCCGCGCCGUAUUAGUUAGUUGGUGAGAUAAAAGCCCACCAAGACGAUGAUACGUAGCCGACCUGAGAGGGUAAUCGGCCACAUUGGGACUGAGACACGGCCCAGACUCCUACGGGAGGCAGCAGUAGGGAAUCUUCCACAAUGGACGAAAGUCUGAUGGAGCAACGCCGCGUGAGUGAUGAAGGUUUUCGGAUCGUAAAACUCUGUUGUUAAAGAAGAACAAGUGUUAGAGUAACUGUUAACACUUUGACGGUAUUUAACCAGAAAGCCACGGCUAACUACGUGCCAGCAGCCGCGGUAAUACGUAGGUGGCAAGCGUUGUCCGGAUUUAUUGGGCGUAAAGCGAGCGCAGGCGGUUUUGUAAGUCUGCUGUGAAAGCCCUCAGCUCAACUGAGGAAGUGCAGUGGAAACUACAAAACUUGAGUACAGAAGAGGAAAGUGGAACUCCAUGUGUAGCGGUGAAAUGCGUAGAUAUAUGGAAGAACACCAGUGGCGAAGGCGGCUUUCUGGUCUGUUACUGACGCUGAGGCUCGAAAGCAUGGGUAGCGAACAGGAUUAGAUACCCUGGUAGUCCAUGCCGUAAACGAUGAAUACUAGGUGUUGGAGGGUUUCCGCCCUUCAGUGCCGCAGCUAACGCAUUAAGUAUUCCGCCUGGGGAGUACGACCGCAAGGUUGAAACUCAAAGGAAUUGACGGGGGCCCGCACAAGUGGUGGAGCAUGUGGUUUAAUUCGAUGCUACGCGAAGAACCUUACCAGCUCUUGACAUCUUCUGCCAACCCAAGAGAUUGGGCGUUCCCUUCGGGGACAGAAUGACAGGUGGUGCAUGGUUGUCGUCAGCUCGUGUCGUGAGAUGUUGGGUUAAGUCCCGCAACGAGCGCAACCCUUAUUAUUAGUUGCCAGCAUUUAGUUGGGCACUCUAGUGAGACUGCCGGUGAUAAA
rnacentral:rRNA from 1 species